UACGUAGGGGGCAAGCGUUGUCCGGAAUUAUUGGGCGUAAAGCGCGCGCAGGCGGUCCUUUAAGUCUGAUGUGAAAGCCCACGGCUCAACCGUGGAGGGUCAUUGGAAACUGGGGGACUUGAGUGCAGAAGAGGAGAGUGGAAUUCCACGUGUAGCGGUGAAAUGCGUAGAGAUGUGGAGGAACACCAGUGGCGAAGGCGACUCUCUGGUCUGUAACUGACGCCGAGGCGCGAAAGCGUGGGGAGCAAACAGG
rnacentral:rRNA from 1 species